rnacentral:lncRNA from 1 species
GAAAGAAAGUAUGACUAUGCACAAGGACCAUGGUGGUGCUAUUGCACCGUGCACAACUGAUGGUGCUGGAGUUGGUGUUGCUGCAAGUGCCAUUGGAGAUAGCAAAUGUGGCAGACGUGGUGGUGUAGGGGCAGGUAGGGGACGUGGUGGUCGCGGUGGCCGUGUUGGAGGUGGUGGUGGAGGUGGAGUCGGGGCAGGUGGGGGAGCUGGAGGUGGAGUGGGAGGAGGAAUAGGAGCAGGUGGUGGAGUUGGAGGAGGUGUAGGUGGAGGUGGCGGCGUUGGAGGAGGUGGAGUGGGAGGAGGCAUAGGAGCAGGUGGUGGAGUUGGAGGAGGAAUAGGAGCAGGUGGCGGAGUUGGAGGAGCUGUAGGUGCAGGUGGCGGCGUUGGAGGAGGUGUUGGUGUAGGAGGCGGAAGAGGAGUGGGAGGAGGUAUAGGAGCAGGUGGUGGAGUUGGAGGAGGUGCAGGUGGUGGGGGUGGCAUUGGAGGUGGAGGAGUUGGCGGAGGUGUAGGUGGAGGUGGUGGCGCUAGUGCUGGAGCAGGUGGUGGUAUUGGAGGUGGCGCUGGAGCAGGUGGUGGUGUUGGAGGAGGUGCUGCUGGUGGUGUAGGUGCGGGAGGUGGUGGAGUUGGAGGUGGUGUUGGCGUAGGUGGUGGAGUUGGUGUUGGUGCUGUUGCAGGUGUAGGUGCCGGUGCCGGUUCCGGUUCGAAAAGAGUGGAAGGCAUUGGAAAUGUGCAUGGACAUGGUGAUGACAAAGAUGCUGCAGGUGUGCAUGGUCAUGGCGAUGGAUUUUAAAUGAUUUUGUUGCAAUAUCAUUACAAGGUCAUAAUGUAAGCUCUGUAUACAUGCAACGCCUGCAUGGGAUGGCGUAGCUAUUACAAAUUUUGGGACUUGAAAGCAUAUCAUCGUUAUGUAAUGAAUCGAAAAAUAAUGAAUAAUGUAGAAUAAAGAGAUAUGUUUCUUUAAUUUGGUGAAUUUGGAUUACUUUUUAUUCCAACCAAUUAAGUUCUCGUCUCUUUCUUCAGUCUGUUUAUUUUGAUGAAUUAAUGAUGAUCAUGUUAUGCAUAGUUGUUAUUUUUAACAUUAAUUUUCUUAUAAUAAAACCGAAAUAGUUUAUUAUUUUACAAGAGAACUCAUAUUCGGAACUGACAAGGAUGAAUCUUAAUUAAAGACUAAGAGGAGAAGUGAAUUAAUAAGAAUUUUUCUUUGUUAGUUUAAAAUAAAAUUGAUAAAUGAACAGCAACACAAAGGUACUGCAGUUAACAUAUAUUGAGUAUGAGCAAUAACAAAUUAACAGCAAUGGAUGCAGUUAAUAUAAUUAAAUAAAUAUUUUUUUUAAUAUUUAUUUUUUUAAAACAUCCAAACAAGUCUAUUCAUUAAUUCCCACUUUCUCCCUCUUGAUAAACCUUUUAACAAAAUACUUAUUAUAUUUUCACUUUUAUUUCUUCUAUUUUUUUAUAAUUGAAACUCAUCAACUCUCUAAAUAAAUUGAGAUACUUCAAUUGAGAUAGUUGUAUUAAGUGCAAAGGGAGACAGGGAAGAGAAUGAGUAAAAUAUCACUAAUUCUGUACAUAUAUAGAUUUUUUUUUCUUUUUUCGGGAAGAUGAUUGAUCCGUGUGGCUGAAUUACAAGUAGAAGAUUCUAUAUUUAUAAAUAAAUCAGAAAAUUAAAAAAGGGGCAGUAGCAAAAAAUGGGUUAAGUUAAUCAAUGAAUCAGUAAUCACAACCUGAUUGUUCAUAAAUUGAUUCACUCGCACCGAGUUUCUUCUCCCACGGCACCGGGUCCGGUACAUUUUGCCUUCGGGCACGUACCGCGAUUAAUUGCAAUUUCACCAUUAAUGUUUUAAUACAUUUUAUAUUGCAAAUUAAUUAAAAUCUAGUAGUAUCUAGUCUGCGAUUAAUUUGAGACAUGCACACGUCUGCACGGAAGAAAAAUUAAUUAAUUAAAACUGUUUGGGGAAUGAAAAAGGAGACUAAUUAAUCAAGAAAAUGACAUGGUUGAGGGGUUUGCUGAAGAGUUGCGUGCACUCCAUAUUUUUCUCCAUCACUUAUCUUAACCGUUGGAGGGUUCACACCGGAAAAACUUCCGGCGCCUUUGACUGUCUUCUGUGAUUUCAGGUAUUUGCAGGAUAAUUGCUAGUGGUGGUAGGACAUCUUGAUGAUUGGCCAACCGAUUCUCUACCAAAUAAAUUUAAUACUAGUGCAGAAGUCUGAUAUUAAGUCGCUAAUCGACCAAAUCAGAUUUGAGCAUCAAUAUUUGGCGCCGUCUACGGGGAUUGAGAAGCCAAUUUUUUAUCUCUACCAAUUUGGAUAUGGCUGAAGUAGAAGUGAUUAGCAAAUUAAAUUGAUGGGAAAAUUGACGGGAGUGAAGCUCGGUUAAAUACUGUCCAAAGGCCAAUGAUUAGAUUCAGGUAUUGAAGAAAUUUGCUUACUCAAUCGGUAAGUCAUCGAAACGGCUUUUCACUUUAAUUCAUAUACUAGCUUGAUGCGAACUUGAUUCUCGACUUCAUCCAAAAACUUUUCACGGCUUAAAAUAUGAAAAUCAAUUUAUUUGAUCGCACAAUUUUGGUAAUUGUGUGCAUAAAUUCAAUUUGAAUAUAGGAAAUUUUCUUUUAUGUCCUUGCAUGAUUAGAUCACAAAGACCAACUAGUUGAAAUUGCCAUUCACGUGCAUUAAGAUUUGGAAUCAAAUAUUCAUUCACUGCAUGCCUCGUUUAUUGUUGAAUAAGUUCUAAAUUCUUAAAACGGAAUAAAUAAUAAGCUUCAUCAAUUGUAACUGAAGUGAAUUUAAACAUAGUUACGAUUCGAAGUACAAUGCAUGUUAUUACUGUUGUGCACGGAAUGCGGAAUCAAACACACUAAAUAAUUGUCGAAAAAUAAAGGACACAAAAUUUAACAUGGUUCGGCAGUAUGCCUACGUUUACAGGAGCAAGAGAAAAAUAAUGGUAUUAUUAACAAUUAUUUAAGUAUAAAUUUGAGUAAAGAAAUCUCACUUUCCCAGAACCCAAAUACACUCAGUACUCUUACACACACUCUCCAAUUGCUCACACUCUCAGAACUCUAAAAAACUUAAAAACUUAUAAGCUUAACAAAUUUUUGGGAUGCUACAGAAAUGAAGAAUGCAUCUCUAUUUAUAACAAAAAAAAUGUUGCACUAUUGCACCAUCCGCUUUGCAAUUUGUCAAUUCUCCUAUCUGUUAAUUUGACAAAUUUUGCUAACAUUUUUCUUUUUUCUUCAUUUGGUGCAGGAUUGUCAAAAGUCAUAUAUUCUACGGCUUACAAUUUGGUGCCGACUUUGAAAAACAAAAGCAAUGCAUGUGGCUCACUUUUCUUUUUCAAUCAAUUUAAAAAAACUCACCAAAAAUCUUUGACUUUUCAACAAUUAGAGCUUGCAGGAUCAUAUGUUUGUCAUUUGUAUUUAAUUAAUCAUGUGCUUGCCAUCCAAUUGUCCAAAUAACAUGCUUACUUUCAUUGCUUGAAAGCAUGUGCUGCACACUUACAAUUUUCAGAGUUAAUUGUUUGGCUUUUAUGUUUGAGAACAUAUUCGUGCCUUUGUCGCUUAAGCUACCUUAGAUUAGCUUUCUUUUAUUGUGAAAUUUUUGUGCAAAAUCAUAAGAAAGAUAAUUACAUAAUCAAGAGAUUAAUGUUACAUCUAGUAAGUAUAUGAUAAAAUGUCUAAAUGAGUUAUGUUAUUUCUCUACUCAUAAUUUUCAUGAGUUAUAAAAAAUCUAAAUGUCUUGUUAAGCUUAUGAAAUGAUACGCUGAGUAAGCUAGAUCAAAAGCAAGAAAGGCAAAUAAAAGGUAAAGCAAUAAUUAAUAAAAAAAUCCAUUCAUUCUUUUUCUUUUCUUUUUUAAAAUUGCUUAAGUUGGCAAAAAAAAAAAUUAAAAGCCUUUAAACCUGCUCUAGAUAAGGCAUAAAACUUUAAUUUGACAAGAGUUGUUCAAAGUUGCUUAGGUCAGUACAAUGUUAAAAGCCUUAAACCUAUUUCAGGUAAGGCAUAAGACCUUAAACUAAUAAGAGUAACUUAAAAUUUCUUAAAUCAGUUAAAGGUUAAAAGUCUUGAAACUUGCGCUAGAUAAUGCAUAAAAUUUUAAAUUGACGAUACAUACUCACCCAUGGUAUGGUCAGCAGAGAAAGCAAAAUAAGUUGUUUAUUGUUUAACUUUGUAAAAAUUAUAAACUUUAGAAUUUCCAGUCUCGAUUCGUUUUACUCUCAACACUAAAAACUGGGAGACUAGUGUUUGGGGAAUAAAAUAGGAUGAUCAGGAUCUUCUCAAAGUAAUGAGUGAGCGAAUGGUUGAUAGGCUACCAAGAGAAAAUUAUAGUGCCUUGAGCAGAUCACCUCGACUAGGUGGUAAUCUUGACGAUCAUGAGCAGAACACCUCGACCAGGAAGUAAUCCUUGAGGCUAUGAGUAGACACCUCGGCCAGAAUACCAUGAGCAGACCUGACCAGGUCGAUUGUUCCAAAAACCUUAACCAACCACAAACUAUCAAGCUCCUCCCAUAAAUUCAGCCAUAAUGUCUACGCACACCCAGAUGCUAUAAUUGCAGCUCAAUAACUAUUCUGUAAUGGGCGCAUUAACUUAUAAUUAAAGCGACGCAUUAAACCCAGCAACGCCAACGUAUUGAAAAUGGUAUGAUAAUCAGGGAUGUUUAUCAAAGUACUGAAAAGUUCAGAGAAGGGGGAGAACUCUCCUUUUCAAUUUUGACUCUUUUAUUACAUUUACUUAAGAUUAUUUAUUCAUAAAAACUAGAAAUGACAUAUUUGGUUUUUCUUGUAAACCCAAUAAUUGACUUGAGCGUUAUGUUUCCGGCGCCUUCAACCAUUCCCUAUAAUUUCAAGUACUUGUUGAUCACAAGCUUGAAAGUUAUCUGCUCAUGAAUAUUCUACUCGUAGUCGGAGGAUCUUUUUGGAGAUCAACCAACAGCUUCCCACCAAAUAAAUUAAAUACUAAUGCGGGGAUCUAAGAUCUAAUCACUAACCAACUCAUCCAAAUUUUGGCAUUAAUAAAAAUGAUAAUCUUUCUUACUCGUGGCCGACGAGGUCCCUAACCUUUUGGUGCUACUAAGUACAUAUGAAUCUGAUAGCUCUAAAUUAUAAAAAAAAAAAAAUCUUUGAAAUAGGCUCUAUAAGCUAUUCCACUGUAAACUUUGCCAGUUCCAUAUCCCAUGGGUUCGUGUGAAGCACUCCUGCUUUGCCCUGUUACGUAGUCGUGACUUUGCUCUGGAGCAUUUAUUCCCACUGUAACAUUUAUUGUACAACCCAGCAUGCACAUGCGAAAACAAAAAGUUUAAUGUAUGUAUGUAUGUAUGUAUGUAUGUACAACUACAAAAUUAAAAAAAAAGACAGAUUUUUAUGUAAUGUACUUUGUCUUAUAGUAUAUUAAAGUAUUGCGUUUUUUAUUUUUUAAUGUUUAAAUUUUAACUUGUCAUUAACUUUAAUAUGAUCAUAAAUUCUUGAUUGGAAACUCAUCUAUAUAUUGUAUGUUUAUAAUGUACAUUGAACGUAAUGCCUAUAGCAACAACAUUGUGAGGAAUGGAGUGUUGUAUUAAUUUCUCACAUGUUGUGGACGAGUAUAAAUCAUUAUAAUUGUCUUAUAUUUUAUCAUAUUAAUAUGUGAUUAAUAGGGAUUGUAGAAAUCUCCAUGAGUUUGGAGCCUUAUGGAGCCCCACCCCAAAUGAGGUGAAUUUUGAAUAUUUUUUAGAGAAUGUGAAAAAAUAAAUUUCAAAUUCUUAAUGAGAGGGGGUUUGAUUUUUUACUCCCCGCCACACCCCCACCCCAAUCCCCAUUAUAUAUGAAUAUUUUAUCAUUUUUGUUCACUAAUUUUUGUUUUAUCAAUUAUAAUAUUGGUUAAUAAAUUUCUUUUAUAUUUUUACCUAAUAUAAACAAUUUAUAACUGAAAUAUUAUAAUUCUUAUUUAACCCUAAACAUUGUUAUAUCUUAUUUUCUCCCUCGAGAAACUGCUCUAUUAAAAUAUUUUUAAGUUUUGAUAUUAUUUCAAGAUAUUAUUUCAAUACUUUGGAGAUCUUUUUAAGAUGGGGAUGAGAAAAUCAUUCCUCACAUGUGAAUUCCCCAUUCUCACCCCACUAAUUUUUUUUUAGAAAAAAAAUGAUGUUUUUAAUGUGACAUUUUUUAAAUUAAAAACGUGUUUGGCAACUUAUUUUCAAAUAGUACAUGAAAAUGAAAAAUAAUAAAAACGUGUUUGGUUGUUUGUCUGAAAAUAUGAAAAGUAAUGAAAAUCUAUUUAGCAUAAUAUUUUAUAAAACACAUUUUUGGACUUUUUAUUAUUCACUAAAAUAGUAUUUUUAUUGGUUAUUAUUAUUUUUUAUUAAUUUAAAUAAAAUACAAUGCAAAUGAACUCGACCACAACCUUUUUUUUUUUUUUCUUUCUGGAGUAGUUUAUUUGUGAACAAUUCGAAUUUACAUUCCAAAAAAUAUUAUAAAGAUGCAAAGUACAGAUUAUUUUUUCACUCACUUAUGUCUAAUUAUUUAUAUGUUUAUAGCAAUGGUCAUUAGUUAAAACAUUGAAAAGAGAGAAAAAAAAAUCAUCGUAUUUGGCACAAGUAAAUCACGCCACACUACUUCCAAAUUAAUUUUUAAUUACAUUAAUUUAAUUUUUAAUUUCAAUUAAAUAAAAUAAAUUUAGGAUUGUCACUACAUAUUAUUUUCAUAAUUUAAUAAUAAGUCUGGCACAUAUUGUACGAAUUAUUUUUAUGUAUGGAAAUAUUUUAUUAGGGAGCUUGCAAGGAGAGGGAUGAGAUUUUUGUAAAGAAAGAAAGAAAAAUAAAUGAGAUGUAUACGGGUCUCGGGAAGACAAAUCACUGACACACUUUUUUUUUUUUUUGUUAACUUUUUUCCAUUGUUCUCUUAGAGUUCUCCUACUUCUCUUCAAAAAUGAUAGAGAACGGGAACUUUUUAUUUUUAAUUUUUUUUCAAUUUACUGUUAUAAAACUGUUUACCGAACAUAUUUUCUUAAUUUAUAUCGAGUGAAAAAGGCUACUAAAUACACCCCAAGUAACUCCGACCCAUUGAGAGUUACUAUACAGCUAUUUGGCAAGAGUUUAGUCACUCUCAUAUUUCUCUCUCUCGUUCAUGCUUUGCUGCUCUUGCAUGCGCGCGUGCGUGCAGAUGGAGGUGUUGAGUUUGGUUUUGCAGCAAGUAGUAGUUGAAUUGAAGAAGUCAAAAUCUGUAACAGGAGCUGAGCAGCAUUAAUCAUGGUUGGUUAACCGAUGUGAGGACUUGAAUUUCUUUCGCAAGCAUGUAUAUGUUUGGAAAUGCAAGAUCACGGGCUUAGAGGUUAAUUAAGAUUUUUUUGUUCACAUAAUGUUAAUAUGUUUCUCAGCAAGGCAUAAUAAUGUAUUUCUGUCGUCUCUGAGACUCUGCCUUAGCCCUGCUGCCAGUGGUGUGAAAAAAUUACUGGGUAAAUAUUAAUAUAUUGUCGGCUAAACAAACAGCUGAAAACAUUAGGUCACACUGAGAAACAGGCAGGAAGACAUUUAUUCACUUAUUUCAUCGAAAUUACGCCCCAAAUGAUCCGAUACUUUGUUGCAUCAACGGCGCUCAAAAAAAAAAAAGAAAAAAAAGAAAGAGAAACUAAGUUUCUAAAAGCAUACCGUAUGCAAUUUCUGUCUUCCACUCCACGAAAACAAAACUUUGUGGUGCUCGUUUCCAAAUGCUAUAGAAUUGUGAAAACAAUCGUGCGAUUGGAUCAGGAGGAAUGCAUAAUACAUACUGAAUGAACCUUUUACUGCCUGCGUACGCCCUUGUUUCGACGACGGGCGGUAUGCUUAUUGAUUAAAAUUUAUCCCAUCCUAUUGCUAUAAUCUUCCUUAAUUUAGACUUUAUUUGUUUCGUUGUUUGUUCCCUUCUGCCGUGAGUCGUCAUCCAUAUUGCACGUGACAAUCAGAAUAAAAAGAUAUCUUCGCAUGUGUAGUUUUUGGGCCUUGACUGAAAGUAUGAUUCGCGUAGCGAUGGCCCAUCCCUCUUCAAAUUUGAUUUCCUUAUCUUUGGGGCUUAAGCCCAUCCAAAUCCAAACUAAUAAGGCCCAAAUCUUCAAAGUCAGAGCUCCCCGCAGCUGGUAAGAUAAAUUGGGUGUAUGCAUACAUUGACCGCACACGUACCCAACUCAAUUGUCAAACAAUGUGGCCCACGCAACAAAUUCCUCCUCCCUGGUGCUUCUUCAUUCUGUGCUGUGCCAGUGAAUACCAACCAAAGAAGAAGGUGAGUUUUAGCAAGAUACGUAACGUACUUAUCUCCUGAUUUCUAACCAACUGCACUAAUGGUUAGUGGAGUAGCUUUUACGGACUCGGGAAAUCCGUAACGGAGGCACGUAUAAUCCACUGACUCAUUACACCGUGUUGGAAUGAUAACAUAAUCGUGGUGAGUUCUACGUACCCAUCUAGGUGCUUCGAUAAUGGCCUUCACAUUCAAUUGCUAUUUGGAUUUUCCUUCUAAUGUCUUUAGUACAGAGCUCAUAUUGCACUUGCACGUUCUCUAUUGGCAAGAGAAAGGGCCAGCGAAAGGUUGGUAUUACGUUGUUGAGGGUUGCUGUUUGAUUAUAAGUGGCACCGGCCACAAGUUUCCUGUUGACGAUUCAUCACAAUAAGCACUCCGGGUGACGAUUCAUCACAAUGAGCACUCCGGGUGACGAUUCAUCACAAUAAGCACUCGGGGGAAUCAGGAGUGGUGCAAUGUGCUUUCAUCAAUAUCAAAAUUAUGACUCGUAUCCGCCACUUCCUUUCAUACAGUGUAGUAAUCCUCCCUUAUAAAUAGGCGUCUUGAUGCAAAAUAUACGGCAUCAGAUUCAGACGAGCUAACAUUGCAACUCUUGAUUCUCUUUACUUGUUUUCUUUGAUCAUUGUCUUGCCUACUCUUCAAUAAGUUCUAUUUAGAGAAACAUGGCUGCGUUCUUAAGAAAUGUUGGGAUGUAUGCUAUCACAUUAUUCAUGCUGAUAGCUGUAGUAGGGAUAACUGAAGGGCGGCAAAUUGAGAAAGAAAGUAUGACUAUGCACAAGGACAAUGGUGAUGCUAUUGCACGGUGCAUAAAUAAUGGUGCUGAAGUUGGAGAUAGCAAAUUGGGUUGUGGCAGAGGUAGUGGUGGACUAGGUGUUGGUGGUGGUGGAGUUGCUGUUGGAAGUGGAGUCGGGGCAGUUGGAGUGGGAGGAGGUGUAGGAGCCGGUGGCGGAUUUGGAGGAGCUGGAGGUGGAAGAGGUGGGGCAGUUGGUGGAGUUGGAGGAGGUGUAGGUGCAGGUGGCGGGGGAGGCAUCGGAGGUGGAAGAGGUGGUAGAGGUGGAAGGGGAGGUGGUGGUCGAUGUAGAGGUGGAAGAGGAGGCGGUGGUGUAGGGGGAGGUGGAGGAGUUGGUGGAGGUGUAGGUGGCGGUGCUGGAGGUGGUGUAGGAGCUGGCGGCGGAGUUGGUGGAGGAGUAGGUGGUGGUGUUGGAGGUGGCGUCGGAGCAGGUGGUGGUAUUGGAGGAGGCGUUGGAGCAGGUGGUGGAGUUGGAGGUGGUGCCGGUGACGGUGGCGGUGACGGUUCCGGCGCUAGAAGAGUGGAAGGCAUUGGAAAUGUGCAUGGACAUGGUGAUGACAAAGGUGCUGCAAGUGUGCAUGGUCAUGGCGAUGGAUUUUAAAUGAUUUUGGUUCAAUAUCAUUAGAAAGUCAUAAUGUAAGCUCUAUACACAUACAACGCUUGCAUGAGAUGGCAUAGCUAAGAUGAAUCGAAAAAUAAUAAAUAAUGGAGAAUAAAGAGAUGUUUCUAUAAUUUUAUGAAUUCGGAUUACCUUUUAUUCCAACCAAUUAAUUAAGUUUCGUUUCUUUAUUCAGUCUGUUUGUUAAUUUUUAAGAUUAAUAUUCUCAUAAUAAAAUCAAAUUUUACAAGAGAAACUCAUAUUCGGAACUGAUCAGGAUGAAUAUUAAUUAAAGACUAAGAGGAGAAGUGAAUUAAUAUGAAUUUUUCUUUAUUAGCUUAAAAUAAAAUUGAUAAAUGAGCGGCAACACAAAGGUACUGCAGUUAACAUGCAUUGAUUAUGAGCAAUAACACAUUAACGGCAACGGCUGCAGUCAAUAUAAUUAAAUAAGUACA